GGGGGUAGAAGUUCCAGCGGAUGUUAGCGGUGAAACUGGCGUAGAUGAUCCUGGAGGAAUACCGGAUGGCGAAGGCGGUCCCCCUUGGAGCUGAAGACUCGUAGAGGGGGGUAGAAGUUCCAGCGGAUGUUAGCGGUGAAACUGGCGUAGAUGAUCCUGGAGGAAUACCGGAUGGCGAAGGCGGUCCCCCUUGGAGCUGAAGACU
rnacentral:rRNA from 1 species